ensembl:lncRNA
GGGAAAAAUAAGGAAAAUACAUUAAAAAUAUAUAUUUAACAAGAAAUAUAUGGGGGAUUGGAAAGGAUGCAGAUAAUUACACUGAUAGAAGCCACAAUCUGCAAUAUUAAAGUUGAUCUACUCCCUACAUGUAUUAUUUUUAAUGGUUUUACACGUCAUUUCAACCCAGAUAGUCAAUGUUUUUUUCAUCCAACUUUUAACCUUAAAAACAUGGUGACUUCAUGUUAGUUGACAAUUCAACCAAAUGUAAAUCAAAACUAGAUGUUGCACUGACUUCUGUCCACUGUGGGUUCACUGUAAUAGAAAUAGCCUCUACCUUUUGUCAUUUCCAAGUAAGGACACUAGAGGGAGCUGUUGUUGAGUGGUUCUCUUGUACCAACCAUGCCUUCAGACACUGGUCACCUCUCUCUCCAACUCUCUUAAAGACAUAAUGUCAUCCAGCAACCAUAUCCAAAUGCUUCAUAUUGUCAUCACUGGCAACAAUCUACAUAUCUCUGGCAACACAGCCUCUUAUCACUAUGCCAAUAACUCCAUGACUGUGUGAGGAUGAGACAGAUACAUAGCCCGCUGGAGGGCCAGUCAUACUGUUGCUACACUUGUACCUUUUUGUGUGUGAGCCAAAGUGCCCAAGUGUGGACACGCUCUUAUGCCUCUUGAUUUAGCAGGGGUGUUGUUGCCCUGUUUUCUUUUUUUCAGUUCUGUAUUCUUCUUGGCUGGAUUCAUAGGAGAUUAAUCGAGUGCCAGGACAGUGUGUAGACUGAUACCUGAUCAGCUUGGAUUCAACCCAUAAAAUGCCACUGUAAUAUCAGAUCAUAUCAUGUGAUAAACAAGUUAAAGAGUGACUACUGUGUACUGCACAUACACAUACUGUAUAUUAUACAAAUACAUGACAAAAUCCUUGUAAGGAAAUAAUCUGCUGGCCUUGCCAUAACUUUUCCUCUUCCACAAUAAGUACAUAAUGUUUUCGAUCGACCCAUUGUAAUUUUUACUUCAGGUUAGAGAAGGUUUAUUCAAUUGUAGGUUUAUUCAACAAAAGAAAAGCAUUAAAUCAAAAUAUUGUAACACAUUCUGAGGUUUUACAUCUUUAAUCUCCAAUCAGUAACAAUCGAUUUGCUCUAUAUAAUGGAGACCUAUUCAGAAUUACAAUGUGACAGACAGUUGUUGACAUCUGAGUUGGUUGUGGACAUGGAUAUGAACUCUAUACCAGAGAGUACUAAGGAAGAAAAAUAAAUAAAGGCAACAAAAACAAAAUCUUCAUAAAUAUAGGAAAGGGUAGGAUACAGCGGUUGUAGACAUGAACCAUUUCAUUGUUUGUUCUCUCCAGUCAGUCAUAUGUACAUGUUUUUUUCCAGCAUCCAGAACCAUCCU